rnacentral:rRNA from 1 species
GACGAACGCUGGCGGCGUGCUUAACACAUGCAAGUCGAACGGAAAGGCCCUGCUUGUGUUGGGUGCUCGAGUGGCGAACGGGUGAGUAACACGGGAGUAACCUGCCCUGGACGUUGGGAUAACUUCAGGAAACGGGGGCUAAUACCGGCUAGGAGCGCCUGCUGCAUGGUGGGGGUUGGAAAGUUGCGGCGGUUGGGGAUGGACUCGCGGCUUGUCAGCUGGUUGGUGGGGUAGUGGCUUACCAAGGCUUUGACGGGUAGCCGGCAUGAGAGGGUGACCGGCCACAUUGGGACUGAGAUACGGCCCAGACUCCUACGGGAGGCAGCAGUGGGGAAUAUUGCCCAAUGGGCGGAAGCCUGAUGAAGAAACGCCGCGUGCGGGAUCAGGGCCUUCGCGUUGUAAACCGCUUUCGCCUGUGACGACGCGUGAGUGACGGUAAUGGGUAAAGAAGCACCGGCUAACUACGUG